CAACGCGAAAACCUUACCACCUUUGACAUGGCAGGAAGUUCCAGAGAUGGAUUCGUGCUCGAAAGAGAACCUGCACACAGGUGCUGCAUGGCUGUCGUCAGCUCGUGUCGUGAGAUGUUGGGUUAAGUCCCGCAACGAGCGCAACCCUUGCCAUUAGUUGCUACGAAAGGGCACUCGUAAUGGGACUGCCGGUGACAAACCGGAGGAAGGUGGGGAUGACGUCAAGUCCUCAUGGCCCUUAUAGGUGGGGCUACACACGUCAUACAAUGGCCGGUACAAAGGGCAGCCAACCCGCGAGGGGGAGCCAAUCCCAUAAAGCCGGUCGUAGUCCGGAUCGCAGUCUGCAACUCGACUGCGUGAAGUCGGAAUUGCUAGUAACGGCGGAUCAGCUACGCCCGCCGUCGAAUACGUUCCGGGCCUU
rnacentral:rRNA from 1 species